UACGAAGGGUGCAAACGUUGCUCGGAAUUACUGGGCGUAAAGCGCACGUAGGCGGCUACUCAAGUCGUGGGUGAAAGCCCGGGGCUCAACCCCGGAACUGCCCUCGAAACUAGGUGGCUAGAAUCUUGGAGAGGUCAGUGGAAUUCCGAGUGUAGAGGUGAAAUUCGUAGAUAUUCGGAAGAACACCAGUGGCGAAGGCGACUGACUGGACAAGUAUUGACGCUGAGGUGCGAAAGCGUGGGGAGCAAACAGG
rnacentral:rRNA from 1 species